UCCAGGGGCGGUGUCUUUAUUUUGGGGGGUGGGGUAGAGGAGUGGGGCGCGGAGGAUUUUGAUAAUCUUUUACUUGUCUCAUUACCUGGAGGGCACUUGAUAUGGGACAGGUUUUUCUCCUGAGUUCAGAAUCCUAAAGCCUUACCCGAACGAAAACGCAGACCUCGGAGGUCUUGGCUCGGCAAGUUUUCAUGGAGCAGCUACCUUUUAUGAAACCCGGCUUAUAUGUUUGUCUCCAUAAUGGUGGAGCCAGAGAAAACUGAGGGAAGAGAUGGAAAUAAAUCACCGUGUGGUGCAGUGGGUGCCCACGCAGACGAGGAGAACAAACGGGCUAAACUGAAAAGAAACACUCUAGUUUUUGUAGUUUGGUGAUGAAGUGGGAGUUCUGUCUGAGAUGCAGUGACGCUGGUGGCUUUGUCAGAAGGCCGUGAUCUGUGGGGCUUGUUGGAGAACGACUUUUACCUAGUCGUCGGGCCUGGCCCUUGCUGGAAAAGGUUCAGGGGCAAGGUGUGAGUUCACGGCCCUCUGGCCCAGCGGGCGCAGCGAGUGUCAUGUGGGAGGUGCCUGACCACGGCGCUCUCCCUGCUCCAGGGCCUCAGCCGAUCCCGUGCGCACUGCGGAAUGCGCAUGAGGGCAGCGGGGAGGUGCGCCCCUGCCCGAGUGGGCCCUGUGCCUCCAAGCCCCACCCCUCCUCGCCUGGGCCCCGCCCCUUAUUGCCCAGGCCCCACCCCUCCUCUCCCGGGCCGCGCCCCCUGCCCACCUGCCUGGAGCCCACUGUGAACCAGACCCCAGCCCCUCUGGCCAGCAGCGUCCGGGGCUGCGCAGGGAAUCGGCUCUUCCACCCUGGCGAGGGAGCCCCGCGGCUUAGGACCGGCUGACGGAGAAAGUGGACCCCGAGAUUAUUUUAAGGAGACCCGUGGCCCCUGGUGCCAUGGACCUGUGGUGACAGCCACGGCUUGGACGGGCAGGCCUUUUCUCUGACAGGCUGUGGCGGUGCGGUGGGUUCUGUGCGAGUGUGAGCUGUCAGCUCAAGAGCUUCUGUUUACCUCACCCUGCUCCGCGUUUCAGCCACGAAGCUGCUCGUGGCUCUGGUCCGUGUGAACUCAGUGUGGACAAGCAGCUGCCGAGCGGCUCCACCAGAUCGAGAUCUUCACACAGCUGUAAGGGCGGCACAAGUACUGCACGGAGCUGAACAGGAGGGGGAGGUUCUGCCCCCGGCCCUGGGCGUCAGGGGUGCUGGCCCCGGCUGCUGCUUCUGGGCAAUGGACACGAGCGAGGAGGGGCACCCGGAGCGUUGAGGCUGCAGGGGGUGGUGGUCUCCACGAGAGUGGCCCCAGCCCCGGUGGGUGUGGCAGUUUCAGUGUGUGCAGCCUCCAGCCCCAGGUGCAGGUUCUCAGAACCCGGCCAGGCCUGGGACCACAGACUCGGCAGGGACAUCAGCUCGGACAUCAGGAUUGUCUGAGUGGAGGAAAUAGGCAGCUGGCUGCAGACGGACCCAGUGUGUUUCUGAACGACAGCCACUUGAAGGUGGUCCGAGGCUGCACGAUAAGGC